UGGAGCGGCGUGCUGUGUGCUAAAAGCGGCAGGUGUAAAAAUAAAAUCCAAGUGAAGCUGCUGUUUGGCAAAUUGUGUUGCAUACUUUUUGGCGCGAGCAUAAAAUAGUUUACAUUUGUGGCGAGACUCGGAGAGCUUGAGCUUGUAACUGAAGUUGAAUGAAUGUGAAAUGUGACAGACGCAGUGACAGUUGAACAUUUGCAACAACAACAACGUGAACUAGCAGUGGCAACAAACAAACAAACACAAAAAAAAAAAAAAAAGAAAGACAGCAAAACAAGAGGAAUAAAGUCAAAGCAGACGGCACAAGUUACCGUUGCGGUACUGGGACUUCAACUGGCCAUCUUCCUUCUCCUCAGUCUCGUCCCGCUUGUUUCCUGGUCCUGGUUGGCCCCAGGAGACAUUUAACAUAAUAAAAACGAACGUGUGCGGCAUUCGUUGCUGUUUUUGUCAAGUUUUUGUAACACUCGCUCACUCUGUUUGCGUGUGUGUCUGUGUGUGUGUGUGUGUUUGUGACUGACUGUGCUUGUGUUGGUUUUGUUUAAUGCUAAUAACACACAGACACUCACGCACACACCCAGCAAGCAAACUCACACAGUUAGUCGAAACAAUAUUGCAAAUGUGUGCGGCAAAGCAGUUGGCAAAAGUGUCGUAAAUCGUUUAGACGGCAAACGUGGCAAGCGCCCAGGACACGGACUUGGACACAGAUCCUUACAGCAGCAGCAGCAGGACGAUAUGUAAACGACAAUACCACCGUGGGAAAAACAAAAAAAAAAGAAGAAAAUAAUACGUAAGCAACUGUGAAAGGAGCAACAGCAAAAGCGGUGGCGCCACAGCAUGCUGCCGUCUGCCAUUUCGAUAGCGAGUCCUUUUGCACAGUUCAUGUGAACGAAACUAAUGAAGCUGAAAUUAAAAGACUGAAAAACACGAAGAUAAAAUAUGGCAAAUGUGUAACAACUUUUUAAAGUUCUCUGGCGAAUAAGAUUGGUUGUCGACCUGGAAAUCUCUCUCGAAGCGAGCAGCACGGCCACUUCAAAUAUAUAUUAUUUAUUCUUAAAAAAAAAAGAA